AUUACUUUAAUUAUUUUAUAAGAUAAUUUGCUAAUCGAAUUGACCAAAUUAUCCUUGAAUGAUUCUUAAUCAUUCAUCAGCCUUCUUGAUCAAUCUGGAAUCUUCUAUGCGUGUGACCUUAUAGGUUCGAACCUAAGCCGGUAGUAUAGGAAUAACUUUCUACACUAAUCGAUGUGACUAUUUAGCAAUGGUACCCGACGUUCGGAUAGACCGAAUAUAUGUGAAGCAAAUAUUCUGGAACCCUAGACUAUGGU
rnacentral:lncRNA from 1 species